rnacentral:rRNA from 1 species
AACGAACGCUGGCGGCAGACCUAACACAAGCAAGUCGAGCGCUAUAGCAAUACAGCACGAACGACGGGACAAAAACGCGUGGGAACAUUCCCAGUGGAACGGAAUAGCCCAAGACAACUUGGGGUCCUACAGUAUACGACCCCAAGGGGAAAGAGUUAUCGCCAUUGGAUGGGCCCGCGUUGGAUUAGCUAGUUGGUGAGGUAAUGGCUCACCAAGGCGACGAUCCAUAGCUGGUCUGAGAGGAUGAUCAGCCACACUGGGACUGAGAACACGGCCCAGACUCCUACGGGAGGCAGCAGUGGGGAAUAUUGGACAAUGGGCGCAAGCCUGAUCCAGCCAUGCCGCGUGAGUGACGAAGGUCUUCGGAUUGUAAAGCUCUUUUGGCGGGGACGAUAAUGACGGUACCCGCAGAAUAAGCCCCGGCUAACUUCGUGCCAGCCGCCGCCUUAACAC